rnacentral:rRNA from 14 species
AGCAUGUGGUUUAAUUCGAUACGGCGCGAGAAACCUUACCAAUUUUUGCAUAUAAAAUAUAAAACUUGUGUUACGCGAGUUGUCAUUUAAAAAAAUGAAAAUUUUAUACAGGUGCUGCAUGGCUGUCGUCAGCUCGUGUUGUGAGAUGUUUGAUUAAGUUCUUGAAACGAGCGCAACCCUCGAUAAUUUGCUU